UGAGGGACGAGUCACCCACUGUGUGUCCGC
rnacentral:piRNA from 1 species